GACAAACGCUGGCGGGGUGCAUGAGACAUGCAAGUCGAACGGGGUUGAGCGGGCUUGCUCGAUCAACCUAGUGGCGGACGGCUGAGUAACGCGUAGGUGACCUACCCGGAAGUGGGGAAUAACUGCCCGAAAGGGUGGCUAAUACCGCAUGUGGUCGGCGAUUCAGUUCGCCGCCCAAAGCCGCAAGGCGCUUCCGGCGGGGCCUGCGUCCGAUUAGCUAGUUGGUGGGGUAAUGGCUCACCAAGGCGACGAUCGGUAGCUGGUCUGAGAGGAUGAUCAGCCAGACUGGGACUGAGAACGGCCCAGGACUCCUACGGGAGGCAGCAGUCGGGAAUUUUGCCCAAUGGACGAAAGUCUGAGGCAGCAACUCCGCGUGAGGGACGAAGGCC
rnacentral:rRNA from 1 species